GGAUUGGGGAGGGGAGAGGGAAAGAGAGAAUCUCAAGCAGACUCUCGGCUAAGCAUAGGAGCCCAACACAGGGAUCGAUCUCACCACCUUGAGAUCAUGACCUGAGCUGAAACCAAGCGUGGGACGCUUAAUUGACUGAGCCUCCCAGGUGCCCCAGAGAGCAUAUCUUUCAAGGCAUGUCAAAUUAAGAAUUAACCUGUAGAAUUUCAAAACAAAUGAACUUUCACAUAGUUUAAAUUUUUAAAAAAAACAUUUUUAGCAAAGCAGAUGGGUAUUAAAACUAAAAGCAAAAAUGAUACUUUUUUUUUUCCUGCAAUGCUUCUGGAACAGGAUAGAUUCUUUGAUCAGCAAGUAAGGGUGAUGCGGAGAAAGUAAGAAGGGAGGCUCUUCCUCCCCUCUCCCAUAUCCUACGUCUACUUCCAAGGGAACCCCAAGGGCUAGGUAGCUACUGAUUAUUGUGCUCACCAGCCUUCUCCUGCUAACAUCACCCCUUUGUUUUGGAGCAAAAGCCCCUGAUUCCCUGUGCUCUUGGUGGGCUGCUGUCAAUCACUAGCCCCUCCCACUCCUGCGUAGGAGGGGAGCCAAGUGUCUCAGGCUGGGCCUCACCUAGUUGUAGAUCCUCCUGGACCCAGUGAUUGUUCCAAGAGGUGGACAUGUGACAAAUAGUGGCCAAUCAGAGGCCUUCCUUCUGAUGACCUCAGGGCUGGGUCUAAAGGCUGAUCGUGGUAAGUGGGGUUUCCUGAGUAAUGUGAUGGAAAGGGAAGUAGGCAGGAGUAUGGUUAGAAGCUCAGACAGAAGCCAAACUAUUCCACGAAAGGAAGGAGAGCCCUGGAAGGGGGGGUCCAUGGGAAGAGUCAGGACUGGCAGGAGAAGAGUGAGGUACAAAGCCCCCGUGCUACCAAGCUUUGUGCUUCAAGAGAACCAGUUCGCCCCGGUUGAGCUAAUGUUGGCGGAACCAAUGAAGUUACUCAGUCAGGAGUCUCCAUAUUGGAUGGUGACUGAUCGAUCCAGCGAAACCCUUUCUUCUUGGGAAGGUUGAAGGUGAGAAGCAGCCAAAAGGAGGUGCUGGGGGAGGUCCUGAGAGACGGAAGGGGAAGAGAAGCUGAGCUAGACUCCAGUCCCGCCUUCUUUGUCUGGCAGAUGCCACCCUUCCCCCUACCACCCACUGCUUGAACGUGCAGAGUCACAACUCCCUGCAGCCAGAAAGAAGGGGACCCACACGGCCCCUGGUCCCGCCACCCCUGUCAGAAGAGGACCGCUGCCUAGCUUGGCAAGUCUUGUCUCGGGAGCCUCUCUAGCCCCCAGGGCUCGCCCGGCUCACCCACCAUCUGUUGGAUGAUUCACGCCUGGCUGGAAGCAAAGUCGAGGCUCGAUUUGGGUCUUGGGACUUGAAUUUGUUCCAAAAUCAAAGGUGUCAAGCUGAGUGGCCUUAAAAUUCUGGAAUCGUUUUGGGAAAUGAGAACCUU
rnacentral:lncRNA from 1 species